GCCCAAGAGACUGGGAUAACACUGGAAACAGAUGCUAAUACCGGAUAACAACACUAGACGCAUGUCUAGAGUUUAAAAGAUGGUUCUGCUAUCACUCUUGGAUGGACCUGCGGUGCAUUAGCUAGUUGGUAAGGUAACGGCUUACCAAGGCAAUGAUGCAUAGCCGAGUUGAGAGACUGAUCGGCCACAUUGGGACUGAGACACGGCCCAAACUCCUACGGGAGGCAGCAGGC
rnacentral:rRNA from 1 species